rnacentral:rRNA from 1 species
UACGGAGGAUGUGAGCGUUAUCCGGAUUUAUUGGGUUUAAAGGGUGCGCAGGCGGCACGGCAAGCCGGCGGUCAAAUCGCGGGGCUCAACCCCGCCCAGCCGUCGGAACUGCCGGGCUAGAGUGGGCGAGAAGUGCGCGGAAUGCGUGGUGUAGCGGUGAAAUGCAUAGAUAUCACGCAGAACUCCGAUUGCGAAGGCAGCGCACCGGCGCCCUACUGACGCUCAGGCACGAAAGUGUGGGUAUCGAACAGG